GGGCCAGACUCCUACGGGAGGCAGCAGUGGGGAAUAUUGCACAAUGGGGGGAACCCUGAUGCAGCGACGCCGCGUGGGUGAAGGAGCACCUCGGUGCGUAAAGCCCUAUCGGCAGGGAAGAAAAGCGAACAGGUUCGCCUGGACGGUACCUGACUAAGAAGCCCCGGCUAACUACGUGCCAGCAGCCGCGGUAAUACGUAGGGGGCAAGCGUUAUCCGGAUUCACUGGGUGUAAAGGGAGCGUAGACGGCGACGCAAGUCUGGAGUGAAAGCCCGGGGCCCAACCCCGGGACUGCUCUGGAAACUGCGUCGCUGGAGUACGGGAGGGGCAGGCGGAAUUCCUGGUGUAGGGGUAAGAUCCGUAGAGAUCAAGAGGAAUACUCAUUGCGAAGGCGACCUGCUAGAACAUAACUGACGCUGAUGCGCGAAAGCGUGGGGAGCAAACAGGAUUAGAUACCCCUGUACUC
rnacentral:rRNA from 1 species